GGCGGGCGCCGGAGGAAGGCGGGAGGGGUCGCGAGUGGCCGCCGGCGGACGUCAAACUGGAAAGGCGUCCCCGGGAGUGUGUGGUUGAGCCCCGGCGUUUCCAUCUCUGUGGUUCUCUGGCUCUCGUACUGGUCCGGCCUCUGGGGAUGGAUAGAGAACGAGAUUGAUGGAGUGUAUACAGACAUCUUCCAGUCUCUCCACAGCACGAAGGAACGAGAGGAGAGCCAAUGAGAAGAUUUGGUGUGCUCUCUUUUUCUGGGAACAUGUGUCUUGUAGAGUGAUAAAAAUGCUCUUUGACUGAUUCCCAUGAGCGUCCAUGAAUACAUCUGUGAUUCAGUGCCAAUCAAAACAGCUCCAAGAAAUGCAAAUCACAUAUGCAGUAACAGAACAAGAGGAAGCCUCAUUUCUACUCAACCUGGCCUGUAAACUCCUCACACCGCCUGUGAUACACAGCACCCUGGGAGUCCUAUGGAAAGCUGCAAAUAAAAGACUUCAUCAGGAAAAAUACGACAUGGACCCAAUAACCUGCGAAUGUUCCAAUAAAUAGGAUUGGAAAGAAAAAAGGUUAGAGGAGACGAAAAGGAAAGGAAUAUAAAAAGUGUUUCAUGUUGCUAAGAUUUGGGCCAGGUAGUGGUCUAUAAACUGUCAGCUAACACCAGAGCGAGUGUUGUGGCUUGUUGUGUAAAAAUGGCUGGAAAAUAUUGCCAGUACUGAACAUUUUGUCAGCAUUUAUUAAGCAUCAUGAAAAUGACCCUUGUUCCCGCUCAGACCUCGUCAACAAUAAAUGAGUAAAUGAAUCCAUAAAUAAAUAGUGAUUCACCGCAUGAGCCAUAAUGGGACUAAUCCGUUAAUCGGGUUGUCAUCAGGAUCUAAUGGUUUUAGAGAUUUCCAAGUCCAUUCAU